AUUGAACGCUGGCGGCAGGCCUAACACAUGCAAGUCGAACGGUAACAGGAAGACGCUUGCUUCUUUGCUGACGAGUGGCGGACGGGUGAGUAAUGUCUGGGAAACUGCCUGAUGGAGGGGGAUAACUACUGGAAACGGUAGCUAAUACCGCAUAACGUCGCAAGACCAAAGAGGGGGACCUUCGGGCCUCUUGCCCUCGGAUGUGCCCAGAUGGGAUGAGCUAGUAGGUGGGGGAAAGGCUCACCUAGGCGCCGAUCCCUAGAUGGUCUGAGAGGAUGACCAGCAAAACUGGGACUGAGACACGGCCCAGACUCCGAGGGGAGGCAGAAGUGGGGAAUAUUGGACAAGGGGCGCAAGCGUGAUCCAGCAAUGCCGCGUGUGGGAAGAAGGCCUUCGGGUUGUAAAGCGCUUUUGGCAGGAACGAAACGGUGUCCGCUAAUACCGGGCGCUAAUGACGGUACCUGCAGAAUAAGCACCGGCUAACUACGUG
rnacentral:rRNA from 1 species